AGGAAACAAAGCGAACCCACAAGGGGUAUUACUAUCUUUCCCUUCACUCUUCUAUGUCUUGCUCGGGACUUGUAAUUACUUCCAAUAAAGUGCAUAAUUGGAGGGAAAGUUUUUUCCUUUAUUCGUAGCAAUUGGAGGUUUCAACCCAAUGACCCUCAUCCUUUUGUGAUUAUGCCUAGUGUUUUGGCGAAUAUAUUAUUGUUUUUUCUUCGUACAUUAUUUACUUUUUAACAUGAUGUUUUUUUGUUUGGCAAUGCUCAUAUAGGUAAGUAGCUAGCUCUUCUUUUUUUGUUGAGCUCUCAACAAACUUCAUGCUUUAAUAGCAACUGUUCUUAGUUUAAGUUUCAAGGCUCACAAAACCAAGAAACUACUCCAACCAUCCAAUAAAAAUUUCACUACGUUGGUAUCCAGACGAUUAUGAGUAAGUUUAUGCACUAGCUUUCUUAUUUCAAAACUUUCCUACUUUCAAAUAAUAUCAGAUAAUUAUUUUUCUUUUUUAGUGUGAAUUGACUUUAGUGUAACUCCUUUGGCGGCCCCCCAAGAAUAGAAAACAUCUACAACUCUCCUUCCUAAUAAAUCGGUUCGUCAAAGCUCUGGGAAGGUCUAAAAUUAUGCUUUCGUGGGUGGUUGAGGAUUCAACCAAGCAUCCUUCGUCAGUCUUCCGUGGCCUCAGGAUCCUUUCCUAAGGAAUCCGUGCCUUCUACUCUGUUGACUUAGUUAGGGAUUCCAAAGGGAAAAGGAAAAUAUCGGAUGGGUCUGACCAAUUACAGAACCCAAAGUAUCCCAUUUUUCUAGAAGGUUUACCUCAUUUUCUAAAUCUUUAUUCAUCCAUUGCUGCAACAAAGUAUUAGAUGCAGGAGGUUUAUCGGUGCUUUCUCCUUUAUUUCUCAGGCAACGAGAUUUAUGUAUGCUUGUUUUAAUCAAUAUUUGAAAAGUUACGAAAGAGGUUAACCCUACUCAAAGAGGAAAAAUGAUUCACGCCCACCUUAUGCAAGCUACUAUCUUGCAUGAAAAAUAGAAGUUUGAAUAUAAUGGUUGUGUUUUGCAUGCGGAUGGCUUGGAUAAAAUGAUCGAUUCUUUGGAAAAGAUGUGAGGGACUCUCCAGAAGAAACUAGGGAAGAUCAUAAUGGAGCGAGUUGAACAUUAACAAAUUGGUAAAGGUGUUGAAGUUAUUACUAUGUAAGAACAAGGAAACGUGACAUUUCACGCCUUAGAGAGAAGUUCUAAUUGACAAGUUUGAGCAUUAUGUUACUUCUAGGGAACUUGAUAGUGUAAGGAAUGGCAUAACCUCGCUCAACAAUCAAUUGGAGAACAAUAAGACAAAAUUAGCCAUUGUAGACUCCAGCCUUUCUAAAGUGAUUGCUCGGGAGGCAAAACUGUUGAGGAUGCUAUAUAGUUAUUGAUAUAAUUAGAAGCAUUCAUCGUGAUGGAAUAUAAACUUUUUGGAGGCUUAUGAAAAUGAUGUUGAAGACACCGUAUCUUCUGAGGUCAUCUGUCGGCUUCUAAAGAUCAGGGUACUUCAUCCUUUUCUGUUGACCUUUCUCACACUAUGGAUUUUCAAGCUAUUGGGGUUGCGGCUAUUAUUGGGCCAAUUGAUACUUCUACUCUCACUCCUAUUCCACAUUAUGAAGUAAUUGUGUCAUUAGGGAUGACGGUCGAGUUAACCAAGACGUUCCAACUUUUGAGAAUCUUCAGUUCUUGGUUAAUUUAGAAACAUAGCUAGCAUUUGUCUCAUCUUUUUGCAAUAGUGAAAUUUCCUUGCUUUUGCAUAAAAUCGAUCAUUUGGCAAUUCAUUAAUGGAAUGUCAUUUCUCAUUUGUAUAAAUUGAUCAUUUGGCAAUCUAUUUAGCCUCAUAUUGCUUUACUCAUUUGAUAUUUAGUUACACUUCUUGUAGUUGCAUUUAAGACAAUUGUAUAUCAACAAUACAAAUAAAAAAAAUUCAUUUAUCAUUCUUUACAGUGAAGGAAAAAUUAUUAUUGUUUUGUUCUUGCUAUGGCUUUUAUUACAUCAAUACUACGCACGCGAUUACAUGUUGUGAUUUCAAUUUUGGAUGACGGCAGGUGUGAUUUCACCCUUGAUGAUAAGGUUUUUUAGGGUGAAAAUCAGUCAUGGCAUUUCUUUGGCUCUACCUUUAGUCAAAAUUUCAUUUAGUGAAGCAUUAUGCCUUUGAUUUCAACUUCACAUUGGAUAGAAAGAGGCUCUGCUUUCAUUUAAAAAUGGCAGAAUAAGCCUCACCUUGUUUACGAUACUCAUUCAUGUGACCUUGCUUAAG
rnacentral:lncRNA from 1 species